CUAUAAAUAUUAUAUAUUCAUAUUAUAUUCUAUUUCUGACAAUAGUUCCUCCUAAAUGUUAUACACUGGACCUGUGGAGAGUCUGUAAUGGAAAAAAGUGCGUGCAUUAAAUACUCCAAGAAUUCACCUGUCUGCAUGAUUAUUUCAGAAGAAAUGA